rnacentral:tRNA from 1 species
UCUCUUGUAGCUCAGUUGGUUAGAGCACUGCACCGGAAUCGCAGGGCCGUAGGUUCAAUUCCUACCAGAGGAC